CCUACGGGUGGCUGCAGUAGGGAAUAUUGCUCAAUGGGGGAAACCCUGCAGCAGCAACGCCGCGUGGAGGAUGAAGGUUUUAGGAUUGUAAACUCCUUUUGGGAGAGAAGAGAAUGACGGUAGCGCACGAAUAAGCACCGGCGAACGCCGUGCCAGCAGCCGCGGUUAUACGGAGGGUGCAAGCGUUACUCGGAAUCACUGGGCGUAAAGAGGGCGCAGGCGGGCUUGUAAGUCAGAUGUGAACUCCUGUCGCUUAACUACCGAACUGCAUUUGAAACUAUGAGUCUAGUGUGUGGGAGAGGUAGGUGGACUUCUUGGUGUAGUGGUCACAUCCGUAGAUCUCACG
rnacentral:rRNA from 1 species